ensembl:lncRNA
CUUAAAACGUGAGUUUGAGUGAACUCCAGGAGUUGGUGAUGGACAGGGAGGCCUGGUGUGCUGCAAUUCAUGGGGUCGUACAGAGUCGGACAUGACUGAGAGACUGAACUGAACUGAACUGAACUGAACACAACAGAAAUUUAUUCUCUACACUUCCUGAGUGAGGCCAGAAGUCCCAAAUCAAGAUGUUGGCAAAGUUGGUUCCUUUUGGACGCUCUAAGGGAGAGUCUGUUCCAUGCCUCUCUCCUAGAUGCUGCUGGCAAGACCUGAUGUUGGUUGGGUUAUGGGCUGAAGACAGCGUGGCCUCAGUAUAAGCUGAGAUAAUCUGCUGUGAAGAACAACACACAAAGGUUCCAGUAGCUGCAGAAGGAUAUGUGAAAAAGCUGGCAAUGAGAAUAGAACUGCAAACAAUGUAGCUUGCCUUUGCCAAGAUACAAAUACAGAAGAAACAUGCUAGAGGAUUGUGCAUGGCAUCAGAUUAUCUGCACAGAUGAGGACAGAAAUGACUUACAUUCUCCAUCCUCUGCCUGGUGACUCACCAAAGUGGAAAAUGAAGCUGCGGAAGCAGUUAGAGAUGGAAGUUACCCUCCAGAAGAGGGGGAGAGGAGUGACCCCAGGAGUACCCGAUCCAAUUUGCCAAGUCUGAAAUGUGGCCAGAACUCUGGUGACGGGAGGUGGCAUCUGAACAUUUUGUCCCAGUCUCCAUAGUCUUUGAGAGGAAAGGUUUGAUUCUGGCUCUGCACACAUCAUCGUUGCACAGAGGUUGUUAGCAGCACCCAGCAUGGGCCAGCUACCACUGAGGACCCGCAGAGGAUGGGAUGGUACAAGAGACCCUCCCCAGCAGCACAGAGUGGAGACACGGUCCUGACACUCUGCUGACAAAGCCCCUUCUCCGUAGUCUUAAUUUCUUUGGUAACAGUCUUAUGGAGAUAUAAUUCAAAGAUCAUAUAACCCACCCAUUAGUUUUUUGUCUUGUCUCUUUACUUGUUCAAAAUCUGUCCCAUUUGGUAGGCGACAAGCUCUCCGAGGAUCAUGGCCAUGCACAUUUUUAUCCGCGAGUGCACGCCUAGCACAUACUGCAGUGUGAAAUAUUUUAUAUAUAUAUUACAAUAUAUAUAUAAAACCA